AUUCAAGAUUUUUAUUUCACUGUCAAGUGAACUGUCUUGUUGACAUAAACGUCCACAGCUAUGGGCUCUUGCCGCUGACAAUGCUCAUGACCCUCGCGAACUUCUCCAUUUGAGAUUUGCGUCUAACAGCGAUUGUUAUUCGUUACAUCAGUUUUCGAUCGCACUUCGCAUUAUUAUUUCAAAACAUUGAGAAGAAAUAUAAAUAAGCUGAGGAACAAACAGAAUUUACAUUCCAUAUAAUUAUAUAAAGUAUUUCCAAAGUAACUAGCUCCACAGAAUUAUGUUUUGACAUUUAUCCGUUGGCAAGCAAGCGAAACGCCAUUCAUCACGAUUAUCGUAGUGGGCCAUGCGAGGCUCGCAAGCGCCAACGGCACUCAGGUCGCGACGAGUCACUAGCAGAGAUGUGUGUACAACUUUGCAAGGCUAUUGAAUUCACCUCAAUAAACGUAAACGUAACGUAAAAGUUAUGCCGCAUUUACGAUGCGCAUAAUGAAAUUUCACUUACCGUAACACAAUUAACCUGGGGUGGUGAAAGAAAAAGAUUGAUGAGCGAUUCGAUGGAGAGUUUUCUGUAGUCUUUGUCAAAUUGCCUAGAAUGAGGUUUGCUUCCACAACUUUACACGAAAAACCGCAGGGUCAACGUUAUGUGAUGAUUAUUGUCCAAAACGCUUUGUAUGAUAAACUUGAAACAGGAAAUAAAGAUAAAUUUAUGUAAACGUUAA